AAUUGGUUGGGAACUGGAGCCAUUCCCCUUAUGAGUCCAUGGUAGGACGAAACUAGUC
rnacentral:hammerhead_ribozyme from 11 species